rnacentral:rRNA from 1 species
UACGUAGGGGGCAAGCGUUGUCCGGAAUCAUUGGGCGUAAAGAGCGUGUAGGCGGUCCGGUAAGUCCGCUGUGAAAGUCAAGGGCUCAACCCUUGAAUGCCGGUGGAUACUGCUGGACUAGAGUCCGGAAGAGGCGAGUGGAAUUCCUGGUGUAGCGGUGAAAUGCGCAGAUAUCUGGAGGAACACCGGUGGCGAAGGCGGCAUCCUGGACCGGCAUUGACGCUGAGGCGCGAAAGCCAGGGGAGCAAACGGG